GUUACUCUGAAAGGGGUAUGGAUUCCUAUCAUUCCAAUCACUAGAAAUGAAAUUUCCAGUGUUGUUAUUUCUUGUCACUACCUCCCUGAAUCAGGAUUGGGUAAUUUGCGCGCCUGCUGCCUUCCUUAGAUGUGGUAGCCGUUUCUCAGGCUCCCUCUCCGGAAUCGAACCCUAAUUCCCCGUUACCCGUCACUGCCACGGUAGUCCAAUACAGUACUGUCGAAAGCUGAUAGGUCAGAAACUUGAAUGAUCCGUCGCAGACCGAAGUCAACGCGAUCCGUUCGGUUACUAUGAAUCACCUGAGGACCACCGGAAGGUGGGUUGGUUCUGUAUCUAAUAAACACUGCCCUUCCAGGGGAAGAGGCAUGUGCGCAUGUAUUAGCCAUAGAAUUACCACGGUUAUCCAUGUAGUAAAGACCAUCAAAUAAACUAUAACUGUUUUAAUGAGCCAUUCGCAGUUUAGCCGUAUAAAAGCUUAUACUUAGACAUGCAUGGCUUAAUCUUUAAGACAAGCAUAUGA
rnacentral:rRNA from 1 species